UUAAGUUAAUAAGGGCGCACGGUGGAUGCCUUGGCACUAGAAGCCGAUGAAGGACGUGACUAACGACGAAAUGCUUUGGGGAGCUGUAAGUGAGCAAUGAUCCAGAGAUGUCCGAAUGGGGGAACCCGGCAGGUAAUGCCUGUCACUCAUUACUGUUAAGGUAAUGUAGAGGAAGACGCAGUGAACUGAAACAUCUAAGUAGCUGUAGGAAGAGAAAGCAAAAGCGAUUGCCUUAGUAGCGGCGAGCGAAACGGCAAGAGGGCAAACCGAAGAGUUUACUCUUCGGGGUUGUAGGACUGCAACGUGGACUUAAAGAUUAUAGAAGAACUACCUGGGAAGGUAGGCCAAAGAGAGUAAUAGCCUCGUAUUCGAAAUAGUCUUUAUACCUAGCAGUAUCCUGAGUACGGCGAGACACGAGAAAUCUCGUCGGAAUCUGGGAGGACCAUCUCCCAACCCUAAAUACUCUCUAGUGACCGAUAGUGAACCAGUACCGUGAGGGAAAGGUGAAAAGCACCCCGGGAGGGGAGUGAAAUAGAACCUGAAACCGUGUGCCUACAACAAGUUCGAGCCCGUUAAUGGGUGAGAGCGUGCCUUUUGUAGAAUGAACCGGCGAGUUACGAUAUGAUGCGAGGUUAAGUUGAAGAGACGGAGCCGUAGGGAAACCGAGUCUUAAUAGGGCGCAUUAGUAUCAUGUCGUAGACCCGAAACCAUGUGACCUACCCAUGAGCAGGUUGAAGGUGAGGUAAAACUCACUGGAGGACCGAACCAGGGCACGUUGAAAAGUGCUUGGAUGACUUGUGGGUAGCGGAGAAAUUCCAAACGAACUUGGAGAUAGCUGGUUCUCUCCGAAAUAGCUUUAGGGCUAGCGUCGAUGUUAAGUCUCUUGGAGGUAGAGCACUGUUUGGGUGAGGGGUCCAUCCCGGAUUACCAAUCUCAGAUAAACUCCGAAUGCCAAUGAGAUAUAAUCGGCAGUCAGACUGCGAGUGCUAAGAUCCGUAGUCGAAAGGGAAACAGCCCAGACCACCAGCUAAGGUCCCAAAAUAUAUGUUAAGUGGAAAAGGAUGUGGGGUUGCACAGACAACUAGGAUGUUAGCUUAGAAGCAGCUAUUCAUUCAAAGAGUGCGUAAUAGCUCACUAGUCGAGUGACCCUGCGCCGAAAAUGUACCGGGGCUAAAACAUAUUACCGAAGCUGUGGAUACCUUUAUAGGUAUGGUAGGAGAGCGUUCUAUGUGCGAAGAAGGUGUACCGUGAGGAGUGCUGGAGCGCAUAGAAGUGAGAAUGCCGGUAUGAGUAGCGAAAGACAGGUGAGAAUCCUGUCCACCGUAAGACUAAGGUUUCCAGGGGAAGGCUCGUCCGCCCUGGGUUAGUCGGGACCUAAGGAGAGACCGAAAGGUGUAUCCGAUGGACAACAGGUUGAUAUUCCUGUACUAGAGUAUAUAGUGAUGGAGGGACGCAGUAGGCUAACUAAACCAGACGAUUGGAAGUGUCUGGCCAAGCAGUGAGGUGUGAUAUGAGUCAAAUGCUUAUAUCUUUAACAUUGAGCUGUGAUGGGGAGCGAAGUUUAGUAGCGAAGUUAGUGAUGUCACACUGCCGAGAAAAGCUUCUAGCGUUAAUUAUACUCUACCCGUACCGCAAACCGACACAGGUAGUCGAGGCGAGUAGCCUCAGGUGAGCGAGAGAACUCUCGUUAAGGAACUCGGCAAAAUGGCCCCGUAACUUCGGGAGAAGGGGCGCUGACUGAUGGUCAGCCGCAGUGAAUAGGCCCAAGCAACUGUUUAUCAAAAACACAGCUCUCUGCUAAAUCGUAAGAUGAUGUAUAGGGGGUGACGCCUGCCCGGUGCUGGAAGGUUAAGAGGAGUGCUUAGCGUAAGCGAAGGUAUGAAUUGAAGCCCCAGUAAACGGCGGCCGUAACUAUAACGGUCCUAAGGUAGCGAAAUUCCUUGUCGGGUAAGUUCCGACCCGCACGAAAGGCGUAAUGAUUUGGGCACUGUCUCAACGAGAGACUCGGUGAAAUUUUAGUACCUGUGAAGAUGCAGGUUACCCGCGACAGGACGGAAAGACCCCAUGGAGCUUUACUGCAGUUUGAUAUUGAGUAUCUGUACCACAUGUACAGGAUAGGUAGGAGCCUAUGACCUCGGGACGCCAGUUUCGAGUGAGGCGUUGUUGGGAUACUACCCUUGUGUUAUGGCUACUCUAACCCAGAUAGGUUAUCCCUAUCGGAGACAGUGUCUGACGGGCAGUUUGACUGGGGCGGUCGCCUCCUAAAAGGUAACGGAGGCGCCCAAAGGUUCCCUCAGAAUGGUUGGAAAUCAUUCGCAGAGUGUAAAGGUAUAAGGGAGCUUGACUGCGAGAGCUACAACUCGAGCAGGGACGAAAGUCGGGCUUAGUGAUCCGGUGGUUCCGUAUGGAAGGGCCAUCGCUCAACGGAUAAAAGCUACCCUGGGGAUAACAGGCUUAUCUCCCCCAAGAGUUCACAUCGACGGGGAGGUUUGGCACCUCGAUGUCGGCUCGUCGCAUCCUGGGGCUGUAGUCGGUCCCAAGGGUUGGGCUGUUCGCCCAUUAAAGCGGCACGCGAGCUGGGUUCAGAACGUCGUGAGACAGUUCGGUCCCUAUCCGUCGCGGGCGUAGGAAAUUUGAGAGGAUCUGCUCCUAGUACGAGAGGACCAGAGUGGACUUACCGCUGGUGUACCAGUUGUUCUGCCAAGAGCAUCGCUGGGUAGCUAUGUAGGGAAGGGAUAAACGCUGAAAGCAUCUAAGUGUGAAGC
rnacentral:rRNA from 1 species